rnacentral:rRNA from 1 species
UGAGGCCGUUAUGGCGGCGGGGUUCCACCUCUUCCCAUUCCGAACAGAGAAGUUAAGCCCGCAGGCGCCGAUGGUACUGCGAAAGCGGGAGAGUAGGUAGCGGCCGACU